GUGGGUAUAGUGAAGUGGUAUAACGGGUGUUUUGGGAACAUCUGACGUCGGUUCGAUUCCGGCUACCCGCAC
rnacentral:tRNA from 5 species